rnacentral:lncRNA from 1 species
GACCUGCAGAAUUGGAAAAUUAUUUGUUGCAUUUACUGUGAAAGAAGAAGUCAACUACUCCACAAAGUCUAAUUUACGCGUUAUUCCACCACCGACUAAUCUUUCUUUCCUUUUAGUUUAUUUGAUAGAUGCUUCUCUUUGACAAAUUAUUUUUUUAUUUACCAUAAAAGAGCCAAAUGUUUAUUAACAAAUAAACUGAUUAACCUAUCAGCCAAAUUAAUUGUCACCCCCACGGGCAUGUUUAAAAGAAAAAAGAAAAAACUAUUACUAUUCUUUUGUUAAUAGAAGGCUUUAAGAAUUUUAUUUUCA